UUCUCAAUAGCUCAGUGGUAGAGCGGUUGGCUGUUAACCAAAAGGUCGUAGGUUCAAACCCUACUUGAGAA
rnacentral:tRNA from 1 species